ACUCCUACGGGAGGCAGCAGUGGGGAAUAUUGCACAAUGGGCGCAAGCCUGAUGCAGCGACGCCGCGUGGGGGAUGACGGCCUUCGGGUUGUAAACCUCUUUCAGUAGGGACGAAGCGCAAGUGACGGUACCUACAGAAGAAGCACCGGCCAACUACGUGCCAGCAGCCGCGGUAAU
rnacentral:rRNA from 1 species